GGGUAAGGAUGCCAGGAAUGAUGGAAACUGAGCCAGCCGGUCUCACUGCCCACGCUGACAGCAGCACCAUAAUAGGCUGAUACUGACAGGGACGAGCGACCCUCUUUCAUAUGGAUGAACAUAGUCUCCAUUUUAAUCCUUAAAAGGUUUGAGAAUAAAGACAAAACACGUCACACAUGUGACAGGAAGUGUGUAUUUUUCAGAGGGACAUCUCCAUAGAGGUGAACCAGAACUGCCCACAUUACAGCUGGCUGACAAGGCUUACAAAGCACGGCAGGUCUUUGGGACUGGGAGAGAAGUCAUGGAGGACACAGUUGGUCUCCUUGCAUCCCCUUCCAC